rnacentral:rRNA from 1 species
CUACGGAGGGUGCAAGCGUUAUCCGGAAUCAUUGGGUUUAAAGGGUCCGUAGGCGGACUAUUAAGUCAGAGGUGAAAUCCCACAGCUCAACUGUGGAACUGCCUUUGAUACUGGUAGUCUUGAGUUAUAUGGAAGUAGAUAGAAUGUGUAGUGUAGCGGUGAAAUGCAUAGAUAUUACACAGAAUACCGAUUGCGAAGGCAGUCUACUACGUAUAUACUGACGCUAAGGGACGAAAGCGUGGGGAGCGAACAGGAUUAGAAACCCUUGUAGUCC